rnacentral:misc_RNA from 1 species
UCGCGCUCGAUGCGUCGGUUAAUUUAGAGCGGUAUGUUGUUGUGACAAAUUUUUCUCUGGGAGUGUGCUCUCGUAUUCAUCGGUGCCGAUUUUUAUAUACAGUGAAUUCCGAAAAAUCAACAUAUUUUGCGCAUGGUAGUGAAUAAAAUACGAGUUUGAUCAUGGCGUUGGAGGGUGUGAAAAGUGAAAAAAGUGAGGAAAGCAAUGCUAAUGUGCAGGACGCGAAGGCAAAUGGUGUCGACAAUAGGAAUAAACAGAUAGAUCCAAACACAGCGUUUCUGCGGGCGGCGCGCGCGGGCCAGUUGGACACAGUCGUCGAUCUGUUGGAUUCGGGGGCCGUUAAAGAUAUAAACACAUGUAACUCAAAUGGAUUAAACGCUCUACAUUUAGCCGCUAAAGAUGGACACAUUUCAGUAGUAGAGGAGCUACUGAAACGCGGUGCUACCGUCGACGCAUCGACCAAGAAAGGCAACACAGCCCUCCACAUAGCAUGCCUAGCCGGGCAGGAGUCGGUGGCGCGAGCCCUGCUCGCGGCCGGCGCGAAAGCAGAUGCACAGUCGGCGGCGGGUUUCACGCCACUGUACAUGGCGGCGCAGGAGAACCACGCGGGCUGCGUGAAGAUGCUACUAGCGGCUGGCGCCAGCCAGACCCUUGCCACCGAGGAUGGUUUCACACCGCUAGCAGUGGCCAUGCAACAGGGACACGACCGAGUGGUUGCAGAGCUCCUAGAGUCAGACACACGCGGAAAAGUGCGGCUACCUGCAUUACACAUUGCCGCCAAGAAAAACGAUGUUAAGGCAGCUACAUUAUUAUUAGAGAACGAGCACAACCCGGACGCGUGCUCCAAGUCCGGCUUCACGCCGCUGCACAUAGCGGCGCACUACGGCAACGUGGGCGUGGCCAGAGCGCUGCUGUCCGCCGGCGCGGACGCGGGCCGGGCGGCCAAGCACAACAUCACGCCGCUGCACGUGGCCAGCAAGUGGGGGCAGCUGGCCAUGGUCGACCUGCUGGUGGAGAACGGUGCAAACAUAGCGGCAGUGACGAGGGACGGUCUGACGCCAUUGCACUGCGCGGCGCGAUCCGGCCACAGCAAUGUGGUGGCCAGGUUGUUGCAGCAUGGCGCACCGAUUACUAGCAAAACUAAGAACGGUCUCACCCCCCUCCACAUGUCGGUGCAAGGUGAGCACGUGGAAACGGCGAAGGUGCUACUCACAGAGGGCGCCCCCAUCGAUGACGUCACCGUGGAUUACCUGACAGCGCUGCACGUGGCGGCGCACUGCGGACACGUUAGGGUCGCAAAACUUCUGCUGGACAGAAAUGCGGACGCGAACGCGCGAGCUCUCAACGGUUUCACCCCACUUCACAUCGCUUGCAAGAAGAACAGGCUCAAAGUUGUCGAACUCUUGCUCAAAUAUGGUGCUAGUAAAUCAGCGACAACAGAAUCCGGUCUGACGCCGCUCCACGUGGCGUCGUUCAUGGGCUGCAUGAACAUCGCCCUGGUGCUGGUCGGCGCGGGCGCAGACGCUGACGCUGCCACCGCCCGGGGGGAGACGCCGCUGCAUCUCGCCGCCAGAGCCCACCAGACCGAUCUGGUGCGAGUGCUGCUGAGGAAUAACGCCAAAGUGGAAGCCCGUGCCCGCGAAGAACAGACGCCACUACACGUAGCGGCUAGACUCGGGCAUGCGGACAUUGCUGCAUUGCUGCUGCAGCAUGGUGCUGAUGUGGCUGCUACCACAAAGGACAAGUACACGCCGCUGCAUAUUGCUGCUAAGGAGGGGAAAGAAGAAGUGGCAGCAAUCCUCAUUGACAACAACGCGCCUAUAGAAGCGGAAACGCGUAAAGGCUUCACUCCACUACACCUAGCUGCUAAAUACGGUGACAUGGGUGUUGCCAGGCUGCUGCUAGCUAGAGGAGCUCAACCCGAUGCUCCUGGAAAGAGUCAUAUUACACCUUUGCACAUGGCAACAUAUUAUGGCCACCCUGACAUCGCUCUGUUACUUCUGGAUAAAGGUGCAUCACCACAUUCACUGGCUAAGAACGGUCAUUCCGCACUUCACAUCGCGUGUAGACACAAUCAUCCAGAUAUUGCGUUUGCGCUACUUGAACAUGAUGCGGAUCCCAGUGUGAAGUCAAAGGCUGGGUUCACACCAUUGCACAUGGCGGCUCAAGAGGGACACGAGGAUUGCGUUGAAAUGCUCAUCGAGAGAGGCGCUGAUGUUAAUGUUCCAGCUAGCAACGGUCUGACGGCGGUGCACCUGGCGGCGGCGGAGGGGCGCGGCGCCGUGCUGCGCGCGCUGCUGGCGGCCGGCGGGCGCUGCGCCGCGCGCACGCGCGACGGCUACACGCCGCUGCACGCCGCCGCGCACCACGGCCACCUGGCGGCCGCGCGCGCGCUGCUGGACGCGGGCGCGGACGUGACUGCGCGCGCGCAGCACGGAUUCACGCCGCUCCACCAAGCGGCCCAACAAGGCCACACUCUUAUCAUUCAACUGCUGUUGAAGAGUAACGCCGACCCCAACGCUCUAUCUGCGAACGGACAGACAGCGUGCGCGAUUGCGGAUCGCUUGGGUUAUAUCAGCGCUGUGGAGGCGCUCAGACCGCUCACCGAGAACACGCUUAGCCAAGCCGUGGGUGAUACUGGUGGUGUAGAGGGUAAAUACAGAGUGGCAGCCCCAGAGCUAAUGCAGGACACAUUCAUGAGCGAUUCAGAGGAUGAGGGAGGAGAAGUGGAAUGCCCCAUCCAGCAGCAGCAGCAGUACCGCUACAUGAACAGCGAGGCGGGCACGCUGAACCGCGCCAAGCCGCUAGAGGACAGCGUGACGGACGGACACCUGUGGCCGAGCAAUAAUGACAGCAGAGUCGCCACUAUCGAGCGGCAGCCGCUGGAUAUCGGUUUCCUGGUAUCGUUCGUGGUGGACGCUCGCGGUGGGGCGAUGAAGGCGAAGCGGCGGGGCGGCGUCAGGAUCAUCGUACCGCCGGCCGCGUGCGCCGCCCCCACCAGGGUCACUUGCAGAGCAGCCACACGGCGCGCACCCGCUGCAGCCCCGCCACCGCUAAUGGAGGGCGAAGCCCUAGCCUCCAGACUACUUGAGUUGCAGCCACAAGGAGCUAAAUUCUUAGCACCUGUAAUAAUCGAAGUCCCGAUCUUCACGGCGUCGUGCCCCGAGCGCGAGAUUGUCAUUCUGCGCUCCGACACGGGGGAGACCUGGCAGGAUCACUACUUGCACAACAACGAUAAUGCUAUGAUACAGGAGGCGCUGGCCCGGUCGCGGCAGGAGCACGGCAGUAGCGGCGAGAGCCUGGGCGAGAACGGCGAGCGGGUGACGCGCAUCAUCACGUGCGACUUCCCGCACUACGUGGCCGUGGUGUCGCGCGUGCGCCAGGAGGUGCACAUCAUCGGGCCCGACGGCGGCACCGUGUCCUCCGCGCACAUCCCGCAGGUGCAAGCGCUGUUCCCGCCGCAGGCGCUGACGAAGCGCAUCCGCGUGGGGCUGCAGGCGCACGGCGCGGGCGCGGCGCUGGCGCGGCGCGUGCUGCCGCGCCACGCCGCCGUGUCGCCCGUGCUCACCGUCGAGCCGCGCCGCCGGAAGUUCCACCGCAGCAUCACGCUCACCGUGCCGCUGCCGCAGCCGCCCGACCACAAGGUGGUAGAAAAGCAAUCGACAUCGAACCUGCGACUGCUCUGCUCGAUCAUGGGUGGUCAAGCGCGAGCCGUGUGGGAGGACGUCACUGGCUCAACACCGCUGACCAUCACCGACGACUGCGCCUCCUUCACCACCACGGUGUCUGCGAGAUUCUGGUUGAUGAACUGUCAAAAUGUCAGCGACGCGACGAAAUUGGCGACGGAGUUAUACAGACAAAUGCUAGUAGUGCCAUUCGAAGUGCGUAUCGUUGUUCUGGGGAAGCGUUUGGACGCGCUGGAAGGUCGACUGCUCGUGCUUUACAUUACCGACAGAUACGCGUAUGAAACUCUGCUGCAACAGGAACACUACACAGAGAUAGCGCACUCGACGUCCGUACGCUUUUUGGACGGCAAGGAAGUUUUCUUGGAAUUUUCUGGAAACCUCGUUCCAGUGACUAAGUCUGGCAGUCAACCGCUGUUUACUUUUGAGGCGUUCAAAGACAAUCGCGUGGAGUUCACAGUUCGCGUCAAACAUCACGAGGAGAGUCCCUCCGGCAGGAUCUAUUUCAUGAACGAACCUAAGGUGGCGAAGGGCGAGCAGUCGCAGACGCCGGCGUGCGUGCUGGACGUGCAGCUGCCCGAGCGCAUCGCGCCGCGCGCCGCCAAGAGCCAGCUCGACUGCCUCAACCUCGACCAGUCCGGUUUCGACGCACUAAAAGACGAACUAAGCUUCCACUGGGGUGACCAUAACCACAGUAUCGGACCGCCGUCUCUGCCCACACACCACGAGACCUCGCCACAACUCAACGGACACGUUUUAUGAAAGAUUCGAGUAAAAAAUUGCUUGAAUCAGAGAAAUCACAGUCUUCGCCACACAAAAAGGGCUCCGGAAUACCGAAGCUUAAGAAAAAGAAGAAAUAAUCAGCGAGCGAGCAACGCCGAACGAACGUACGAGUGUAGAUUUAAUAUUUAUUGUUGUUAAUUGUUCUACGGUUUAUUUGGUUCACGGAUCGUGUAUCAUUUAAUAAAUUUAUAAUUUAGUAAAGUUAUAACUGAUUUCGUUUUGAUAAAUCAGACAAAUCUUUGAGCAAUUUUAUUAUGAUAGUAAAAUCAUGUGAAAUCAUAAUUUUAUUAAUUUAAACUUAAAUCAUUUUAUAUGUAUAAUUUUUAUUUUUAACACAGAAAGGAAUUGAUAUGUCCCUACAUAUUGUGUUGAUUUUUUAUUUGAAUAUUGCUCCGUGAAGCAAAUAAUUGUAAAUUCUCUAUAAUCUGUUAAUUUUAUGACGUGACGUCGCGCGGACGAUUACGCUCGCGGAAGUUUGACGUCCAGUUUGUUCGUUAAUAUUAUUCGAGAGACUAUUUAAGCCAUCUCCAAUGUACAAAGAAGUACAAUUAAUAUAGAUGCGAUUUCAUAGAAAUCGUUUUUUUUUUUUAUUCAAUCGACAUUUUAUUUAUACAACUUAAAUCAAGUUGAAUCUUGCCUCUAUCAAUCAUUUUGACAUUUUAUCGAAUCGUAAUAUAUUAUUGGCUUUAUGGCGAACAUGUUUUUAUUUGCAAUUUGUGAAAUAGUAUAUUUGUGUUGCAUAAUUUAUUGUAUUUUAUCUAAGUGUAACGCUUGUACAGUAUUUGACGGAAUUACUUUUUAUAAGUUUCGCAAUUUCGACGUUACUAGCCUAUGGGCUUAGCCAUAGCUUUCGUUUUAGAUCUGCUACGUUAUUUAUUUUUAUACUGUGUCCUAUUUUGUCUUUCGUAAUUAAUAAUUGAUAGAUGUAUGUAUAUUUAAUGUCACAAAAUGACGCGAUUCUAUGUGCUACUUUAAAUAUUUGAGAAUAAAUAUGAAUUGAACCUU